AGCUACUGCAUGUGGUAAAAUGCCUGCAGGAGAAGGGGUUUGGACAUUAUGUGACUCGGCCAUAGGGCUGAGCCACCAAAGACCUGAUGAGAGCCAGGUGGCCAGCAGGAGGAGGCAGGGAUGAAGACCCCUUGCAACAUUGCACCCUAACACAGAGGGGUGCUACCAGUUGAGAGUACACUACCUUCCAGAACUACUGAAACUGACUGGGUCCUACCUGUGUCAGAAAGAAAAAGAAGGUUAGCAAAGAACACCAUGAGACAGCACUGAUGGACAGUACAAUGUACGUACUACACUGAAAGACAGUUACCUGCCCCGUGAUGCUGAAGCAUUCAAGUGGAUGCAUUUACCAUACAUAAGAAGACGACUCUUUUAGCAUGACCUGUAAGAAUGUCACUUUCCUAUGGCUAUGUUUAAUAGU